GACGAACGCUGGCGGCGUGCUUAACACAUGCAAGUCGAACGGUGAACCCGCUUCGGUGGGGGAUCAGUGGCGAACGGGUGAGUAACACGUGGGCAACCUGCCCCCGGCUCUGGGAUAACCCCAAGAAAUUGGGGCUCAUACCGGAUAUGACCGCUGGCCGCAUGGUCUGGUGGUGGAAAGAUUUAUCGGCUGGGGAUGGGCCCGCGGCCUAUCAGCUUGUUGGUGGGGUAGUGGCCUACCAAGGCGACGGCGGGUAGCCGGCCUGAGAGGGUGACCGGCCACACUGGGACUGAGACACGGCCCAGACUCCUACGGGAGGCAGCAGUGGGGAAUAUUGCGCAAUGGGCGAAAGCCUGACGCAGCGACGCCGCGUGGAGGAUGACGGCCUUCGGGUUGUAAACCUCUUUCAGCAGGGACGAAGCCGUGAGGUGACGGUACCUGCAGAAGAAGCACCGGCCAACUACGUGCCAGCCGCCGCUGUAACAC
rnacentral:rRNA from 1 species